AGCAACCUGCCCCAGAGACUGGGAUAGCCCGAGGAAACUCGGAUUAAUACCGGAUAUCCUCAGCGGAUCGCAUGUUCUGCUGAGGAAAUGCUUUUGUGCUUUGGGAUGGGCUCGCGGCCUAUCAGCUAGUUGGUGAGGUAACGGCUCACCAAGGCAUCGACGGGUAGCUGGUCAGAGAGGACGAUCAGCCACACUGGAACUGAGACACGGUCCAG
rnacentral:rRNA from 1 species